rnacentral:rRNA from 1 species
ACGCUCGACACCUACGGGAGGCAGCAGUGGGGGAUAUUGCACAAUGGAGGAAACUCUGAUGCAGCGACGCCGCGUGAGGGAAGACGGUUUUCGGAUUGUAAACCUCUGUCUUCAGGGACGAAAUGAAUGACGGUACCUGAGGAGGAAGCUCCGGCUAACUACGUGCCAGUAGCCGCGGUAAUCUGAGCGGGCUGGCAAGGC